GGUGAGUAACACGUGGGUAACCUGCCCAUCAGAGGGGGAUAACACUUGGAAACAGGUGCUAAUACCGCAUAAUGCUUUUUCUCGCAUGAGAGAAAGCUGAAAGGCGCUUUUGCGUCACUGAUGGAUGGACCCGCGGUGCAUUAGCUAGUUGGUGAGGUAACGGCCUACCAAGGCGACGAUGCGUAGCCGACCUGAGAGGGUGAUCGGCCACACUGGGACUGAGACACGGCCCAGACUCCUACGGGAGGCAGCAGUAGGGAACCUUCCGCAAUGGACGAAAGUCUGACGGAGCAACGCCGCGUGAGCGAAGAAGGUCUUCGGAUCGUAAAGCUCUGUUGUCAGGGAAGAACAAGUACCGUUCGAACAGGACGGUACCUUGACGGUACCUGACGAGGAAGCCACGGCUAACUACGUGCCAGCAGCCGCGGUAAUACGUAGGUGGCAAGCGUUGUCCGGAAUUAUUGGGCGUAAAGCGCGCGCAGGCGGUUCCUUAAGUCUGAUGUGAAAUCUCGCGGCUCAACCGCGAGCGGCCNUUGGAAACUGGGGAACUUGAGUGCNNGAGAGGGGAGCGGAAUUCCACGUGUAGCGGUGAAAUGCGUAGAGNNGUGGAGGAACACCAGUGGCGAAGGCGGCUCUCUGGCCUGUAACUGACGCUGAGGCGCGAAAGCGUGGGGAGCGAACAGGAUUAGAUACCCCUGGUAGUCCACGCC
rnacentral:rRNA from 1 species